AGAAAAGCAGGGGAUCGCAAGACCUUGCGCUUUUGGAGCGGCCGAUGUCUGAUUAGCUAGUUGGUGAGGUAAAGGCUUACCAAGGCGUCGAUCAGUAGCUGGUCUGAGAGGACGACCAGCCACACUGGGACUGAGACACGGCCCAGACUCCUACGGGAGGCAGCAGUGGGGAAUUUUGGACAAUGGGGGAAACCCUGAUCCAGCCAUGCCGCGUGAGUGAAGAAGGCCUUCGGGUUGUAAAGCUCUUUCAGCCGGAACGAAACGGUCACGGCUAAUACCUGUGAUCACUGUCGGUACCGGAAGAAGAAGCACCGGCUAACUACGUGCCAGCAGCCGCGGUAAUACGUAGGGUGCGAGCGUUAAUCGGAAUUACUGGGCGUAAAGCGUGCGCAGGCGGUUUUGUAAGUCAGAUGUGAAAUCCCCGGGCUUAACCUGGGAACUGCGUUUGAAACUACAAGG
rnacentral:rRNA from 1 species